CCCGUAGUAUUAGCAGGACUACAUCUAUAGCACCAUCCCGUCAAAUGCUUUUCUAUAAUUACACCUCGGUGUUAAACAAUUACACACAACCAGCAAGAUAGUCUGCGCUAGUGAGUACCUAGUACUUUGAACUCCUCAAAUGAUAGGAUUUUUAUCUAUUUAAUACCAUACGUUUGUCCGGAUCAUAUCUAAUAAUGGUGCACAGUUUAGAGUAUCUCCCUAAUUUAUAUCGGCAUAGAUAUAGAGAUAUAUGAUAACAUUAAAUGGAUAUCAUCUUGAAGAUAGAACUAACUUGCAAUCUUAUUUGAGUGAACAUGGAGUAAAUGUUCUCUAGUUACUGGACUAUAAAUAUCACUAGUAUUAUAUGCUUCUCACCAAAAAGAAACGAGAAGAAGAAAUUUGUUAUUGAUAGUAUGGAGCAGAAACCUAUUCUUCUUUGCCUUAUGGUGCUUCUGCUGCAGGCAAAUUGUACUCAUGCUGGUACGAAAUCGAUCUCCAUGUACUUAUUUUCCUUUCUCCUGCCGAUUAUAGCAUAGUGAAAUUGGCAGUUGAGGGGCAUGAUUUUCAUUAGAACUUCCUCAAUUUAAAAUUCUUUCAAUGAUAUAUGUUCUUGUGUACAGAAAUUUGCAAAACUGAAACAGCUUUUGGGACCACCCUAUGCGCAUUUUAUACUUGCCUGAGCACCUGCAUAUCUGUGUGGGGGGGAUCGUGUGAAACAAACAGAUUGUAAGCCUGUCAGACCUUACUAUACAAUUUGUACUUGUCUCGUAUGUUUCUAGAAUUACACUUUGCCAUCAUGUCAAACAAUGGUCAAUGAGGUCAUACAGUAAUAAAAUCUUCUUGUCAAAUGCAUGUGAGGAUGUAUGAAAUCACUAAAUUUGGAUGUUGU
rnacentral:lncRNA from 1 species